AGCUAUGGGUUAAGAGUCAAGAGGGCAUGGCCCUGAGAGCUGCCCCAUUGGAGCUAAAAGCAGCCCAGAUGAAGCAUAAGCCUGGCUGUGAUUUCCAUUCAGGAAGAGCUUGAUGACAAGGCCCAGGUCCCAACCUGCUGUCUCUCAGAGGUUCCUGUGUUCUGAUUCCUUGGCAACUAGAGAUUCCUGCAACAUUUCUGGAAGCCCCAGUGAGAUCUCCUUCUCCAUGGCCCCAUGGUAGAGACGGGCUGCUGCUCCCUGGUCUCUGAGAACACUAAAGUCUUCUGGAACUGAGAAGCACAAGGGGACUGCGGGACCAAGACCUGGAGUCUCUGGGAAACAUACAUCCUAAACAGGACUUCAGGGUCCUCUCCCAGUGGACAAGGGGACUGCGGGACCAAGACCUGGAGUCUCUGGGAAGCACACAUCCUAAACAGGACUUCAGGGUCCUCUCCCAGUGGACAAGGGGACUGCGGGACCAAGACCUGGAGUCUCUGGGAAGCACACAUCCUAAACAGGACUUCGGGGUCCUCUCCCAGUGGACAAGGGGACUGUGGGACCAAGACCUGGAGUCUCUGAGCGGAAGACCAGAUGAGACUGGGCUGGAUGUCCAGGCCAGGUAAAGACAAAAAAGGGAGAUAGGCAGGAAGAGCCAGCAAUGGCUAGAUCGCCUUGCAGGAUAUUAUAUCUGGAGCCUUGAAGGGAUACUCAGGUAGCACCGGUCCCCAAGGAAAAGGCCUUGAUGAGAUACUCAGGUGGAUUAGUCUUGGAAGAAAUAGACAGACUAAGCAUUUAAAAGGGGGAUGUAUAACUUCUAAGUGAAUGGUGAAUGACUGUGUAGGUGACUGUAAUGCUCCCGCAGCUCCGUGGCUACAGAAUUUGAUUGGGCCUCAACCUCAGAUCGGCUGAAGCCCUUUCAAAUGAACAGGCACUCCCACUCACAAUAGGAGGUGACCAAGUACAAGGUUAUACAUGUGGCUCUAAGGAAAGACCUCUGAAAUUGCCACAUGGUGUCUGGCCAGGCAGAUGCCUGCUUGAGGGAGAAGCUGGUCUCCACCUCACCCUAUUACUACACAGGGUUAGGCACACAUAAACUCCCCCAGUUUCCAGAUAGGGAAUUUUUCUCACCAUGGGAUUUGUAAAAUCCUGAUGUGAAACUCACACAAUCCUGCAAAGACCUUUGUGAUGGUUUGUAUAUCCUUGGACCAGGGAGUGGCACCAUCUGAAGGUGUGGCCUUGUUGGAAUAGGUGUGACCUGGUUGGAAUGGGUGUGUCACUGUGGGUGUGGGUAUAAGAUCCUCACCCUAGUUGCCUGGAAGUCAGUCUUCCACUAGCAGCCUUUGGAUGAAAACAUAGAACUCUCAGCUCCUCCUGCGCCAUGCCUGCCUGGAUGCUGCCAUGCUCCCACCUUGAUGAUAAUGGACUGAACCUCUGAACCUGUAAGCCAGCCCCAAUUAAAUGUUGUUUUUUAUAA
rnacentral:lncRNA from 1 species